rnacentral:rRNA from 1 species
CAGCAGCCGCGGUAAUGCGUAGGGUGCGAGCGUUAAUCGAAAUUACUGGGCGUAAAGCGUGCGCAGGCGGUCCGCUAAGACAGAUGUGAAAUCCCCGGGCUCAACCUGGGAACUGCAUUUGUGACUGGCGGGCUAGAGUAUGGCAGAGGGGGGUAGAAUUCCACGUGUAGCAGUGAAAUGCGUAGAGAUGUGGAGGAAUACCGAUGGCGAAGGCAGCCCCCUGGGCCAAUACUGACGCUCAUGCACGAAAGCGUGGGGAGCAAACAGGAUUAGAUACCCCCGUAGUCCCUGUCUCUUAUAC